rnacentral:rRNA from 1 species
GAUGAACGCUAGCGGCAGGCCUAAUACAUGCAAGCCCAGGGCUGUUUGGUGUAGCAAUACAUCAAACAACCGGCGGACGGGUGCGUAACGCGUAUGCAACCUACCCUAUACAGGAGGAUAGCCCUCGGAAACGAGGAUUAAUACUCCAUAAGAUUGCUUAGAGGCAUCUUUACGCAAUUAAAGCCGCAAGGCGGUAUAGGAUGGGCGUGCGUCGGAUUAGCUAGUUGGUGAGGUAACGGCUCACCACGGCGAUGAUCGGUAGGGGGGCUGAGAGGACGAUAAGCCACACCAGGGGUGAGACACGGCCCAGACCACUAAGGGAGGCAGCAGAGGGGAAGGGAGGACAAGGGGGGGAACACUGGCCCAGCCAUGCCGCGCGCGGGAAGAAGGCCUGCGGGUUGGAAUCAUAAUUUGUUUGGGAAGAAAAAAAAUGGGCGAAUACCGCGGGGGGAUGAUGGUACCGGAAGAAUAAGCACCGGCUAACUACGUG